GAGGGAAUAGCUCAGUGGUAGAGCAUUCGACCGCUAAUUGAGAGGUCCAUGGUUCAAACCAAAGUGUCCCUUUCUUCA